rnacentral:tRNA from 1 species
GGGUUUAGGUUAGACAAACCAGGGGCCUUCAAAGCCCCAAACAGGGCCCCCCCCUAACCCCU